CCCUUAGAUGUCCUGGGCCGCACGCGCGUUACACUGAUGCAUUCAACGAGCUUAUAACCUUGGCCGAGAGGCCUGGGCAAUCUUGUUAACGUGCAUCGUGAUAGGGAUAGAUUAUUGAAAUUAUUAAUCUUGAACGAGGAAUUCCUAGUAAACGCAGAUCAUCAAUCUGCAUUGAUUACGUCCCUGCCCUUUGUACACACCGCCCGUCGCUACUAUCGAUUGAGCGGUUCAGUGAGGGCCUCGGAUUGGUCUCGGUCUGGCGUGCAAGCGCCGGCACCGUUGGCCGAGAAGACGCUCGAACUCGAUCGCUUGGAGAAAGUAAAAGUCGUAACA
rnacentral:rRNA from 1 species